GACCAAUGAUUUUGUUUUAUGGAGCCUUGAAGGGCGACGAAUGGCACUAAAGUGUUGCCAUAUUGAUAACUCAAACACCCAUUGUUGAUGUGUGAUGCUGAUAAUACAGAGGCAGCUAGAGUGACAGAGUUUGAUGAAUAAACUUAAAUUAAAAAAAACAGAAAUAACCACCAUCUCUCUCAGAGGUCGUCUUUCUCAUUAUUGCGGGGAAACCUCAAAGGACAUCAGGAAAACCUUCAUCAACCUCUUUGUGCCCAGUGGCUUGUGCAACAGAGUUUCAGAA